UGGGGAAUAUUGGACAAUGGGGGAAACCCUGAUCCAGCCAUGCCGCGUGUGUGAAGAAGGCCCUAGGGUUGUAAAGCACUUUAAGCAGGGAGGAAAGGGUGAUGGCUAAUAUCCAUCAUCAUUGACGCUACCUGCAGAAUAAGCACCGGCUAACUUCGUGCCAGCAGCCGCGGUAAUACGAAGGGUGCAAGCGUUAAUCGGAAUUACUGGGCGUAAAGCGCGCGUAGGCGGUUUGGUAAGUGUGAUGUGAAAUCCCCGGGCUCAACCUGGGAACUGCAUCACAUACUGUCAGGCUAGAGUACGGUAGAGGGGGGUAGAAUUCCACGUGUAGCGGUGAAAUGCGUAGAGAUGUGGAGGAAUACCAGUGGCGAAGGCGGCCCCCUGGAUCGAUACUGACGCUGAGGUGCGAAAGCGUGGGGAGCAAACAGG
rnacentral:rRNA from 1 species